CUUCCGGUUGAUCUCGCCGGACCCGACUGCUAUCAGAGUGGGACUAAGCCAUGCGAGUCAACAUAGCAAUAUGUGGCAUACGGCUCAGUAACACGUAGUCAACAUGCCCAGGGGACGUGGAUAACCUCGGGAAACUGAGGAUAAACCACGAUAGGUCAUCACUUCUGGAAUGGGUAAUGACUUAAAUCUAUAUGGCCCCUGGAUUGGACUGCGGCCGAUCAGGCUGUUGGUGAGGUAAUGGCCCACCAAACCUGUAACCGGUACGGGCUCUGAGAGGAGGAGCCCGGAGAUGGGCACUGAGACAAGGGCCCAGGCCCUAUGGGGCGCAGCAGGCGCGAAACCUCUGCAAUAGGCGAAAGCUUGACAGGGUUACUCUGAGUGAUUUCCGUUAAGGAGAUCUUUUGGCACCUCUAAAAAUGGUGCAGAAUAAGGGGUGGGCAAGUCUGGUGUCAGCCGCCGCGGUAAUACCAGCACCCCGAGUGGUCGGGACGUUUAUUGGGCCUAAAGCAUCCGUAGCCGGUUCUACAAGUCUUCCGUUAAAUCCACCUGCUUAACAGAUGGGCUGCGGAAGAUACUAUAGAGCUAGGAGGCGGGAGAGGCAAGCGGUACUCGAUGGGUAGGGGUAAAAUCCGUUGAUCCAUUGAAGACCACCAGUGGCGAAGGCGGCUUGCCAGAACGCGCUCGACGGUGAGGGAUGAAAGCUGGGGGAGCAAACCGGAUUAGAUACCCGGGUAGUCCCAGCUGUAAACGAUGCAGACUCGGUGAUGAGUUGGCUUAUUGCUAACUCAGUGCCGCAGGGAAGCCGUUAAGUUUGCCGCCUGGGGAGUACGGUCGCAAGACUGAAACUUAAAGGAAUUGCGGGGGGAGCA
rnacentral:rRNA from 1 species